rnacentral:rRNA from 1 species
AGUGAACGCUGGCGGCAUGCCUAACACAUGCAAGUCGAACGGCAGCGCGGGCUUCGGCCUGGCGGCGAGUGGCGGACGGGUGAGGAAUGCAUCGGAAUCUGCCCAGUCGUGGGGGAUAACGUAGGGAAACUUACGCUAAUACCGCAUACGACCGAGAGGUGAAAGCGGGGGACCUUCGGGCCUCGCGCGAUUGGAUGAGCCGAUGCCGGAUUAGCUAGUUGGCGGGGUAAAGGCCCACCAAGGCGACGAUCCGUAGCUGGUCUGAGAGGAUGAUCAGCCACACUGGGACUGAGACACGGCCCAGACUCCUACGGGAGGCAGCAGUGGGGAAUAUUGGACAAUGGGCGCAAGCCUGAUCCAGCAAUGCCGCGUGGGUGAAGAAGGCCUUCGGGUUGUAAAGCCCUUUUGUACGGAAGAAAGACGCUGGGUUAAUACCCUGGCGGGAUGACGGUACCGUAAGAAUAAGCACCGGCUAACUUCGUGCCAGCAGCCGCGGUAAUACGAAGGGUGCAAGCGUUACUCGGAAUUACUGGGCGUAAAGCGUGCGUAGGCGGUUUGUUAAGUCCGUUGUGAAAGCCUGGGCUCAACCUGGGAACUGCAGUGGAUACUGGCAGGCUAGAGUGCGGUAGAGGAUGGUGGAAUUCCCGGUGUAGCGGUGAAAAUGCGUAGAGAUCGGGAGGAACAUCGAUGGCGAAGGCAGCCAUCUGGACCAGCACUGACGCUGAGGCACGAAAAGCGUGGGGGAGCAAACAGGAUUAGAUACCCUGGUAG